rnacentral:rRNA from 1 species
AGGACGAACGCUGGCGGCGUGCCUAACACAUGCAAGUCGAACGAGGUCCAUCCUUCGGGAGAAGACCUAGUGGCGAACGGGUGAGUAACACGUGAGGAACCUGCCCCGAAGACCGGGAUAACCCUCCGAAAGGAGAGCUAAUACCGGAUACCCCCACCGAGCCGCAUGGUUUGGUGAGGAAAUGGAUUCCGCUUCGGGAGGGCCUCGCGGCCUAUCAGCUAGUUGGUGGGGUAGCGGCCCACCAAGGCAUCGACGGGUAGCUGGUCUGAGAGGACGAUCAGCCACACUGGGACUGAGACACGGCCCAGACUCCUACGGGAGGCAGCAGUGGGGAAUCUUGCGCAAUGGGCGAAAGCCUGACGCAGCAACGCCGCGUGGGGAUGAAGGCUCUCGGGUUGUAAACCCCUUUCAGCAGGGACGAAUCAAGACGGUACCUGCAGAAGAAGCCCCGGCUAACUACGUG